CGGAAAUGUGUCGCACAUAACGUGUUUCCUUGUGUACAUGCGUAGCGGGAAUUACACAGAUGUUGUGAAAAACCAAUUUUGGUUUCCACAAUUAUUUCGCCUUUUUGAUAGCCAUUUACUAAAUAAUCAAGUCAUUUAUUGUUUUAUUAGCUAAUAUUAGUUGCUGCCAUAGCCAGCUAGUUGGCUACUACUGUAGCUAACGUUAGCAUUGGAUUACUAUUUGCCAACUAGCUGACGUUACUUAGCUGUAGUGUGAAGUCAACUUCAGUUGCCACUUUGCCAAUGUAGCUAACAUGCUGGUGUGUUAAAAGGAGCAAUGUCAGUGGAAUAGGUAGUUUUCCAUCGUAUUGUUAACAUACAGCUACCAUUUUUACUUAGGAAAGUAAGCUAGCCAACUACAGACAGACAUGGAGAGUCAAACCCAUGCGCGGAAAGCGUCUGCGCCCAUUGUGUCCCAAAUCAACGCAGAAUAUGUCACAGUUGGCUAAUAGAUACUGGGCGCCCCAUGUCAAGAAUAAACUACCAUUAGACCCAAAGGUCUUGGAGGAUGUCUAUGAGAAAGUGAUUCUAAAGUCCGUUUUCGCCAUGAGGAAGAUCAUGUUACUGGAGUUCAGGUGGAUUUUUGAGCCUUUUUAUUGUGGCCUCAAUACAUAAUCAAUGAUAAUAAUUUAUCAUCAGAGAGAACGUCCGUGCCUGUGAGGUGUUUAAGAAGGUGCCAAGCCACUUCCCCUACUUAUUUAAGUGUGUGAUGGAGGACGUGUCUCUGAAGGAACAGACUGUACUGUUAGUCUUCCUCCACCACUGAUUGGUACAGCCUGAACCUGAGCCGUCACGGCAAACCGGGCAUGAUGACUCCUUGCUGUCCCC